rnacentral:rRNA from 1 species
AGAUUGAACGCUGGCGGCAGGCCUAACACAUGCAAGUCGAGCGGCAGCACGGGUACUUGUACCUGGUGGCGAGCGGCGGACGGGUGAGUAAUGCCUAGGAAUCUGCCUGGUAGUGGGGGAUAACGCUCGGAAACGGACGCUAAUACCGCAUACGUCCUACGGGAGAAAGCAGGGGACCUUCGGGCCUUGCGCUAUCAGAUGAGCCUAGGUCGGAUUAGCUAGUUGGUGAGUAAUGGCUCACCAAGGCGACGGAUCCGUAACUGGUCUGAGAGGAUGAUCAGUCACAUGGAACUGAAGACGACGGUCCAGACUCCGUACGGGAGCAGCAGGUGGGAAUAGUUAGGAACAAGUGGGACGAAACGCCGUAGAUCC